UGCUACUCACCUGCAGUAGGAGUUGUUCCGCGAUUUUUGCCUUCUUCUUUUCCUUGCCGAGCAUGAACAGAUUCUUUAAUAUUCCGGAACAUGUUGUACAAGAUGAUUCUUAGGGCUUUAGUAUCCUUCUUUGUUUUCGGAAUAAGCUAUACAGAAUCUGCUAGUAGUUUCGAGUUCUAUUUGCUCCUUUAUGUUCUGUUGUAGUAUGUUUAAAGAGGCUUUGUUUGUUCUAGGAGAUCCUUGGAUAUGUUAGUUUGUUAGUGGGCAAGAACAGCCCUUGUUGUUCAGUUUUGAACCUAAGUGUAGCACUUAGAAUUAUGAUACUGCUGUGAGAGAAAUCUUUACUUAAAAGCCUUCGGAUUAGAUUCAAGACAACUCUAGGCAUUCAUUUGGCUUGCUGUUUUAGUUCUUUGAGUUAUGUUUUGUGCUUGAAUUUCCUUGCCAUUGAAGAGCCUGAUUAGUUACAUCUUCAAGCAUGUCUCCUUAUGUUCCUUAUUAAUGAACAGAUUCAGUUCUUGGCAUUUCAAGAGCAUGAACAGCCAUAAAGGGAAAGAAAAGAUACAGUGAAGGAAGACGCCAAGGAGAUGCAAGAGGAGUGUGUGAUGUGUGGACUAUGGAGGUCCUUGGGACUUAGCUAAAGAACUCAUUUAGUUUAAGAAAUUGUUUAGUUUAAUUUUUUAUUAAGUUGAUAAGAAAAUCAUGUAGUAAGAAGUAUGUUUUCGGUUUUUUAUUAUCUGCAUGAUUUGAAUUAUUAAA